rnacentral:rRNA from 1 species
CCUACGGGAGGCAGCAGUGAGGAAUAUUGGUCAAUGGGCUUACGCCUGAACCAGCCAAGUCGCGUGAGGGAUGACUGCCCUAUGGGUUGUAAACCUCUUUUGCCAGGGAGCAACGCCGGCUACGUGUAGCCGGACUGAGAGUACCUGAAGAAAAAGCAUCGGCUAACUCCGUGCCAGCAGCCGCGGUAAUACGGAGGAUGCGAGCGUUAUCCGGAUUGAUUGGGUUUAAAGGGUGCGUAGGCGGAAUGCCAAGUCAGCGGUAAAAUCGCGGGGCUCAACCUCGCUCCGCCGUUGAAACUGGCGUUCUUGAGUGGGCGAGAAGUAUGCGGAAUGCGUGGUGUAGCGGUGAAAUGCGUAGAUAUCACGAAGAACUCCGAUUGCGAAGGCAGCAUACCGGCGCCCAACUGACGCUGAAGCACGAAAGCGUGGGUAUCGAACAGGAUUAGAUACCCUUGUAGUC